UACGUAGGGUGCGAGCGUUAAUCGGAAUUACUGGGCGUAAAGCGUGCGCAGGCGGUUAUGUAAGACAGAUGUGAAAGCCCCGGGCUUAACCUGGGAACUGCGUUUGUGACUGCAUAGCUAGAGUGCGACAGAGGGGGGUGGAAUUCCACGUGUAGCAGUGAAAUGCGUAGAGAUGUGGAGGAACACCGAUGGCGAAGGCAGCCCCCUGGGUCGACACUGACGCUCAGGCACGAAAGCGUGGGGAGCAAACAGGAUUAGAAACCCCCGUAGUCC
rnacentral:rRNA from 1 species